rnacentral:rRNA from 1 species
UACGAAGGGGCUAGCGUUGUUCGGAAUUACUGGGCGUAAAGGGCGCGUAGGCGGUGUGUCAAGUCAGGCGUGAAAGCCCCGGGCUCAACCUGGGAACCGCGCUUGAGACUGGCACGCUAGAGUUCGGGAGAGGAUGGUGGAAUUCCCAGUGUAGAGGUGAAAUUCGUAGAUAUUGGGAAGAACACCGAUGGCGAAGGCAGCCAUCUGGACCGACACUGACGCUGAGGCGCGGAAAGCGUGGGGAGCAAACAGG